GGACGGCCGAAAAGUCCCACAAUAGGACGAAACGGCCGUCCAGUGC
rfam:Schistosoma rodhaini strain Burundi genome assembly, scaffold: SROB_scaffold0003222